UAACAAUAGUAAAUUUUUGCUUCAAGCUGGAAUUGAUACACGGAAUUGGUGGAGUUUAAACAUGAUAAUAAUAAUAACCUAUAUGGUGCAGCGGGUUAAGGAUCUGGUGUUGUUGCAGCUUUGGCACAGGUUGCAGCUGUGGCGCGGGUUUGAUCCUUGGCCUGGAAACUUCCAUGUGCCACAGGUGCAGUCAGAAAGGAAACCCACCAUAAAAAUGUGUUGUUAUGGAUUAAAAAGAAAAUCAGGAACCCCGAUAUUUGGUCACAUCAAGUCCCUCCUUUUUGAAUAUUAAAAAAAAGUGGGGGGAGAGGCUCUCCCUAUAUCUCUAAUAUUUUAUUAAGUGCUUUAAGGGAAACAAGACCUGGCAAAUUGUUGACAUUUGUUAAAUCUGGGCAGUGAGUACCAUGUCCCUUGUAUUCUCUAACACUUAUCUGUGUGUUGUACAUAGUUCAUUAAAAACUUUAAAGAGGAGUUCCUGUCGUGGCUCAGUGGUUAACGAAUCUGACUAGGAACCACAAGGGAUUGAACCCGCAACCUCAUGGUUGGAUUUGCUAACCUCUGCGCCACAAUGGGAACACCCAGGUAAAUCUUUUACUCUAUCAAACCAUAGCUACAAGUGCCCAGUUUUAAGAUUUUUAAAAGUAGUUUUUGGGGGAGUUCCCUGCUAGCCUAGCAGUUAAGGAUUCUGUGUUGUCAGUGCUGUGGCUUAGGUUAUUGCUGCGGCAUGGAUUUGAUCCCUGGCUCAGGAACUUUACCGGGAACUUUCAAGAAUUUUUGCAUGCUUCAGGCAACCCCCCCACCCACAAAAGAUUUAACCUUUUCUUGUAACUUAAAGUGUUUAGAUAUCAGGAAUUCUUCACUUAGUGAUUGAAGCGUAUGGAGUCUGCUUGGCCCUUACUUGGUGCAAACACGUAGCUCUUAGCCUGAAGCAGGGGUCAGCAGACUUUUGUGUAGAGGGUGAAAUGGUAAAUGUUUUGGCUUUGUGGGCUAGAUGGUCUUUGUUCCAGCUACUGCACUCUGCCCUUGGAGCCCCUGGCAUGGAUAAUAUGUAAGCAAAUGCACAUGGUUGUUAUAACACUUUAUUUACAUCAGUGGGUUUCAGGCCAGACCUGGUCACCCUUGCCUAGUCUUUCUAAAGGUGCCUAAUAAACACUUUUACUGAAAGGACGAUGGCCUCUUCUCUUAAGCCUUGAAAUUUGGGGUGUGAGAUGAAUUUCCUUUUCCUCCUUGUCCACACCCAUGUAUUUGAGGCUUCAGAAGUCCUGUGUUAUGAGAAUUGAACCGAAGACUUGCUGGGCCAAGGUCCGUGGGGUUACGUGUAUCCACAAGUGAGUGGAUGAGCAAAUUCACAUAUUUAUCUUUUAUGUUAUAAAUUUAGAACUCUUGGGCACUUAGCUGGCUGAUAAACUUCAUUUUCUUUAAUAGAAGUGUCUAUUGUGAUGUCCCACAUAGUAGCCAGUAGGCUCAAAGUUCUGUCGAGCAACACUGGUCUAGAAUUUUGACUUAGGAAUUAGAGGAAAAAAGUCGUAGGGAUGAUAUUAAAGCAUAAUCACUAACUAAUGCUUCCGUUAUCUUUUCAAAGAGAUACUGUGUUUUACAGUUCUUUACUGGGGAGAAUUUUUUUCAUGGACAGGAUUAGAAGGCAGAAGUAUUUCUCUUUACGUACAAGUUCUGUCUUUAGGUUGAAAAUCAAACUUCUCGAAACAUGUUAUGCUUAUACCUCAGAGUAAACAAGCACAUAUAACAUCAUUUUGAAGUUAUACUAACUAAAUGAUUGUAAAGAAGACAUCACUCAGCUGAUGGAUGCCUCUGUGAGGUUGUAAACUCCACAUCCAGACUGUACUUAUGACAAAGCCAGGUGGUCUUUUUGUGGCCCACCCCCAAUCCUUUCCCCAUUGAUCCCCCCACCCCAUCGAUUUUUUUUUUUUUUUGGUCUUUUUAGGGACACAUCUGUGGCAUAUGGAGGUUCCCAGGCUAGGGGUGGAAUUGGAGCUACAGCCGCUGGGUUACGCCACAGCCACAGCAACGCCAGAUUCGAGCCGUGACUGCAACCUACACCACAGCUCAUGGCAGCUCCAGAUUCUUAACCCACUGAGCGAGAUCAGGGAUCAAACCUGUGUCCUCAUGGAUACCAGUCAGAUUAGUUUCUGCGGAGCCAUGAUGGACUCCCCCCCAUUGAUUUUAUUUCAACUCUAAGACCUAGGAUUUCUAUAACUCUUUUAUCCUUCCUUUCCACCUUUGAACAGGUGAUGAAGCGGGUUAAGGAUCCAGCUUUGUCACUGCAGCAGCUCAGGUGGCUGCUCUGGCUCGGAUUUCAUCCCUGGUCCGGGAACUUCCAUGUGCUGCGGGUGUGGCCAAAAAAUCCAGAAACAAACAAAUUACAGCGAAUUCCCCUAAGCUAAACAUGUCUUUUCUUGUUUCACUGUUCCGAUAAAUGCUGCUCAUUUGUCUGAGCCAGGGACGGGCUUAGAGUAGACUCCCUCUUCCCCCUCGCUGUCUGUGACCCACGGUUGUUUCCCUCUCCUCUCUCCCCACUCCUCUUGCCCUGGUCUGUCUCCCGAGUUACUUUACGACUUGUAAACCAGUCUGGCUGUUCAACCUUGUGCCCUUCCGAUGUGUUUUUCACCACCGCAGUCCUUUUGAUCUUUUUGUUUUGUUUUAUAACAGCCCUAUAAUUCGUAUACCAAACCAGUCACCCAUUUAAAGCAUACAUACAAUUCAAUUAUUAUUAUUAUUAUUAUUAUUUGCUUUUUAGGGCCACACCUGCAGCAUGUGGAAAUUCGCAGGGUAGGGGUCCAGUCAGAGCUACAGCUGUGGGCUUACACCACAACCACAGCAAUGCUAGAUCCGAGCUGUGUCUUCAACCUACACCACAGCUCACGGCAGUGCUGGAUCCUCAGCCCACUGACCGAGGCCAGGGAUCGAACUCGAAUCCUCAUGGUUACUAGUCAGAUUCAUUCCCACUGUACUGCAAUAGAACUCCUCAAUUAUUUUUAGUAUGUUCACGGAGUUGUGCAACCAUCAUCACAAUCAGUUUGGGAACAUUUAGUUGCGCCCAGAAGAAACCUUGUAUUCAUUGGCAGUCACUCCCAAUUUCUUCCACACCCAUCCCAGUCAUAAGCAACCACCAGUCUGCUUUCUGUCUCCGUAGACUUGCCUAUUCUGGACAUUUCACACAAAUGGACUCAUAUAUAGUCUUUUGUGACUGGCUCCUGUGACUUAGCAUAAUGUUUUCAAGGUUCAUCCAUGUUGUAAUGUACAUCUGUAUUUCAUUCAUUUUUAUUGCCAAAUAAUUGUCUGUUAUAUGGAUAUACCACAUUUUAUUUAUCCAUUCAUUAGUUGAUGGGUAUUUGGAUUGUUUCUGGUUUUGGCUGUUAAAAAAUGCUCUGUAAACGUUCGUGUCCAGUUUUGUGUUGACAUAUUUUUUUCAUUUCUCUUGGGUAGGUACCUAGGGAUGAAAUUGUUGUGUCGUAUGAUCCCUUUAUGUUUAAUAUUUGGAGCAGUUGCCAAAUAGUUCUUCAGAGUGUCUGUACCAUGUUGUACUUCCACCAGCAACACAUGGAUAUUCCAGUUUCUCCACAUCCUUUUUUUUUUUUUUUGUCUUUUUGUCUUUUUGUCUAUUUUUUUAGGGCUGUACCUGCGGCAUAUGGAGGUUCCCAGGCUAGGGGUCUAAUCAGAGCUACAGCUGCCGGCUAUGCCAGAGCCACAGCAACGCUAGAUCUGAGCCGUGUCUGCAACUUACACUUCAGCUCACGGCAACGCCACCACAUCCUUAACCCGCUGAGCAAGGCCAGGGAUCAAACCUGAAACCUCAUGGUUCCGAGUCACUUCACAUGAUGGGAACUUCUCCACAUCCUUGAUAACACUUUUUUUUUGAUUAUAGCCAUUCUGGGGUGUGUGAACUGAUCUUUUCACAGUUCUGAUUUGCCUUUCCCUAAUGGUGUUUAGCAUCUUUUCUUGUAUUUAUUGGUCCUUUGCUAUCUUCUUGGAGCCUUUUGAUCUUUUAAGAACACAAAUUUGAUCCUGGGUAAAGCCCCACCUCUGGUGGCAAACAUUCUUCCAUUCUUUGCCUUUUCAUUUCUUACUUACUAAUGUUUUGGGCUUCAGUUUAGAUGCAAUUUCCUUCAGGAAGCCUUUUCUGACCCCCAUUAUUAGCACUCAGUCCAUCAUGGUGUGACUGUUUAUCUGUACUUCCUUUCCCAGCCAGACAAUUGGCUCCAUCAGCAGGGAUUGUGUCUGGCACAUGGUUGGCUGAAGGACUGAAUAUAUGGAUGAGUGUAGGUUUAAACAAAAAAACCUUAAAGUGUGAGUUCCCUGGUGGCUCAGCAGGUUAAGGAUCCAGCAUUGCCAGUGCUAUGGCUCGGGUCCCUGCUGUGGUGCUGGUCCAGUCCCUGGCCUGCAACUUUUGACUGCUGCAGGCGUGGCCAAAACAAAACAAAACUUAGAGGUUCUUUUUUUUUUUUUUUUUUUUUUUGGUCUUUUUAGGGUCUCACUGUUGGCAUACGGAGGUUUCUAGGCUAGGAAUCCAGUCGGAGCUAUAGCUGCCAGCCUACGCCACAGCCACAGCAAUGCCAGAUCCGAGCCUCGUCUGUGACCUACACCAUAGCUCACGGCCACGCCGGAUCCUUAACCCACUGAGCGAGGCCAGGGAUUGAACCUGCAACCUCAUGGUUCCUAGUCGGAGAAGUUUCUGCUGCGCCACAAUGGGAACGCCCCUCUUUUCUUUGUUUUUUAAAUUCUGUCUUGGAAUCAUUAUUGCAUGGUUUUUGUGUGUGCUUUGUCUCCCUUCAUGCUUGUAGAGGUGCUGUGAGAUAGUGUUGUAUAGAAGCAGCGGUGCAUGGCUGUUGCUCUGCGUAGAUGGAGGCCGGGCAAGACCUGUGUGCUCUCUGUUCCACAAUGGCUGCUUCCUGCCUGCCUGUCCCGGGGCAGAGUGGGGGGUGUGUGUGUGGGUAAGUGGGUGCUCUGUGAUCUGGAGGAGGCAGAGAUAAGGGAAAGGGACAAUGGAGAAUAAGAAGCUUGGGGCUCUGAGGAGCUGCGGCCUAGGACGGGUGCGCUGCGGCAGGUGGCUGAGGUCUGGCCUUGAGUGAACUUUUUGCAUCGGAACAAAUAUAUUUGGUCAACUAAGCCCUAGUUCUGCCUUUAAUUCUUGAAUUAGAGGUCAGGCAUUCAUUUUUAAUAGUGUAGGGAAAUUCUGAUAAUGGGAAUAGAUUUCUUUCCUUUUAGUUUUCAAGAAGGAACUGAAAAACUGGAUUACACCCUGAUACUUCUGUAGGGUUGUACAAAAUAAGACAGAAUCUGGAUUCAUUUUGUGAUGGUGACUUUACCAAGGUAGAUAUUAUUAUUCUCCAUCAGAAUAUCUAGAAAUACUCUUCCAUUCUCAUUUUUGUCCUCUUAAACUGCUGGAGUGUGCAGAUAAGACAUUUCACAGGAUUGAGAUUUCCUUUGCUCACUUUGCUAAGCCCUGUGUUCUCUGGCUCGUGCAUGCCUGAUUUUUGCUGAUUGCAGGGUCUUAAUAAUGUUUUAAAUUUUCUUCUUUGUCCAAGGGUAUAACUUUACUGUGGAGGGCAAAAUCAUGAUUCUCCAUGGUCUAGGGCUUUUAGGCACUUCUAAACUCCUAAUUUUCAUUUAUGUGGCUUAGUUUCUCCAUUAGACCAUACCAUUAGGGAGUUGUCAUACAGGAGGAAAAGGCGGCUUGACCUUACGGCAGAAACAUCUAAAUGUUUGACAGAUAAAUUUUUUUGGAAAGAAAGUGUGUUUUAGAUAGAGCAGCUAAGCUUUCAGUGCAUUGUAGGGAGAAAGUCCUCUUGAGGCUUCACCCAGUGGUACCAAAGCUGAGACCUCAUGGAGGGUGGCUCUAGGCUCAGUGAAGAGUAGAUUAGAUAAUUGCUUUUGCCCAGUCAACUCAGGCUUUUUUCUGUCUUUGAAUAAAAUAAGCACCAUUCCCUGACUGCUCUAGGAACCAAAUAAAACUUUCAAAAGAGCUGGUUUAGUAGAAAUAAUGUUUACUUUUCAUAGAUUUGUGUGUAUGUUUUUUAAAAAUUCAGUAAAUGGACACAAGACCGUUUGCUAAAAAGCUUGUAUCCAGAAAGGUGAUUUAGAAUUUUUUGUUCAUUUAUCAAAUACCUGAGUACCUCCCCUGUGUCCUGUGUUCUCACCAGACUCUAUGGGAGACUUGCAGAUGCAUCAUCGGAUGUUGACCCUGGUGACGUGGAGCUUGUCCCUCAGUGGGGAGGCAGAUGCUUGGGGCAGGAGGUCAGGUGCGAUCCAGUGUGGAGGAGAGAGCAGUGACCUCUCUCUGAAGGGGAGGGAA
rnacentral:lncRNA from 1 species